GGCGGAAUGGCCGAGCGGUUAAGGCGCUAGAAUCAGGAUCUAGUUCGAAAGAGCGUGGGUUCGAGUCCCACUUCCGUCA